GGCAAUUCUCAGGUGAUGCACCCUGGAAUCGGGCUCCCUCCUCUCGGGUUCUGGGUGCGUCACCCGAGAACUGCA
rfam:Myotis brandtii contig233462, whole genome shotgun sequence.